GCCUGGGUGGCUCAGUGGUUGAGCAUCUGCCUUUGGCUCAGAGCAUGAUCCCGGGGUCCUGGGAUCGAGUCCCGCAUCAGGCU
rfam:Canis lupus familiaris chromosome 31, whole genome shotgun sequence.